GAUGAAGAACGUAGCGAAAUGCGAUAAGUAAUGUGAAUUGCAGAAUUCAGUGAAUCAUCGAAUCUUUGAACGCACAUUGCGCCCCUUGGUAUUCCGAGGGGCAUGCCUGUUCGAGCGUCAUUUAAACCAAUCUAGCUUGCUAGGUCUUGGGCUUUCGCCUCUGGGCGGGCCUCAAAAUCAGUGGCGGUGCUGCCGGGCUUUAAGCGUAGUAAUCUUUCUCGCUAUAGGGUCCUGGUAGAGGCUUGCCAACAACUAUAAAUCUUUCAAAGGUUGACCUCGGAUCAGGUAGGGAUACCCGCUGAACUUAAGCAUAUCAAUAAGCGAAGGA
rnacentral:misc_RNA from 1 species